rnacentral:rRNA from 1 species
AGGACCCGUCUUGAAACACGGACCAAGGAGUCUAACAUGUGCGCGAGUCAUUGGGACUUGUUCGAAGCCUAAAGGCGCAAUGAAAGUGAAGGUCCUCCGCUUUAUGCGCGACCGAGGGAGGAUGGCUCGCGUCACGAUGCGAGUCCGCACUCCCGGGGCGUCUCGUGCUCAUUGCGAGCUGAGGCGCACCCAGAGCGUACACGUUGGGACCCGAAAGAUGGUGAACUAUGCCUGGUCAGGACGAAGUCAGGGGAAACCCUGAUGGAGGUCCGUAGCGAUUCUGACGUGCAAAUCGAUCGUCGGAACUGGGUAUAGGGGCGAAAGACUAAUCGAACCAUCUAGUAGCUGGUUCCCUCCGA